rnacentral:lncRNA from 1 species
UUUCCAUGUAACUAUCCUUUUAGCUUGUUAGUGAGCUAUAAUAUCUGUCUGUCUACACAUCUUUCUGCAGGAUAAUAAAUGUUUAGAAUCUUCUCUGCAGCAAUGACAUUUCUGAAGGGGCUAAGGAUGUUUUACUACAAUUCUUUGAACUUGAACCUUGUGUGACAAGGAAGACACAGCAAGUAAAAGCCUUCAUGUGUCCCACAGCUGCCUCCCUAUCAGAGUCAAGAUCCGAUUUCAUUCCUGAAAGGUCCUAUUGUGUUCAGAAGUCACUGCUGGUUGAACAGUAACCUUCAGGACAAGAUGUUGUAGCCAAAACUGGCCUUUAUAGCUUAUCCCUGGAUAGAUAGCACAUGCAGUGCACUUGCGACAUAUGAAUUCUGCAGCAGUUUUGGCUACAUUGCCUACUAGCGCUUCUGCUGAGAGCCCUCCUGGCUGUAAGAGCAUCUCCUCUUGUAUCCGUAAGGUGACAGUGCCACCUGACUUUGCAUCACUGGAGAGCCUUGAAGAAUACACUCAGAACUGCAAGAGCCCUGAAUGCACCUGUAAGUAUACCUCUGGAAUCCUGGAGUCACAAUGUGAAAAUGUGGAUGAUUUGUGUCCAGCAGAAUUUUUGAAAAUGAACAUGGGAGUGGGUAAAAAGCAUGGUUUGGAUACCAUGUGCAGUAAGAAGGGCUCUCAUCAUUUCUACCAAAACACCCUGUCAAGCCUCUGCUCUGCCUAUACUCAUAGAAACCAAUAUCAUGACAACGGAUGUGCAAGUGAAGGACUUCUAUAUGAAUUUUAUACAGAGGCACAAGAUCUUUUUAUAGGGGAAGCAUAUGGAGCAGAGUUUAGACUUAAAAGCCCACUGAUUCUACUUGGAAGCAAAAAUGGACAGCGAAGGUUCUUAGUUAAAAACACAAUUCUCAAAACAAGACAACUACCAGAAUUUAUUCAUUCUGGAGGAUUAAAAACAUCAUAUGCACAGAAGAAAUUAUGCCAGUGA